ACCCACUAAAUCGACCACCGGUGGAUCGAUCUCAGAGCGUGGAUCCUGGCUGUAGCGUAGAUGUAGCCUAGAACUACGGAGAGCUCUUUGUGAAGUUGGUUUCACUUCCUCCUGAAUAUCCACAGUGAGGGACGGUGGUUGACAUUUGGGAGAUCCUCCAGGAUCAGCCCAUUUCCCACCAUUCGCGAAGAGUAUGCAUAAUAGCAACACCCACUUCAGCCCAGGACUAAUUGUUCCUCUUGGAGUCCAUCAGUGUAGCUACAUAAUUGCUAAUGAAGUCACAUGCAUGGAUACAAAAUAUAUAAAGGAUAUUACAUGCAAAAACAACAUUAACAUUAGAAUUGCAAGUCAAUCACUCAAAACAUAGGAAAUUCCAGAAUAAACGUUGUCUAGGUGACAUUAAUUCAGACCCUUUUGCGUAUGCAUUAUGAUACUGCCUUUAAUU